CGCCGCCCGGGAGGGAGCCCGGCCAUCUCCCGCCCGGCCCGGUGUCGGCUCCGCGGCCCGCGUGCGGACCGCUCGGGCGGCUGCGCCUCGCGCUCUCGCCGGGUUGUUGCCCUUGGACAAGCUUUGCCAAGCGCCGCGGGGCUCCGGAAGUCCCAGAGCUGGGACACCGAGCCGGGGCAGGGAGCUGGGUGCAGGGACCGCAGCAGCUCUCAGCUGUCUUCCCGCAGCCGGGCGGGUUUGCACCUGCCGCGCCCCCUGCCCCCUGCUGAUCCGCACUUUCCCAACUUUGGCCCGCGCGCAGCGGAGGUCGGUAGCUGUGGGUUCUGGUAGCGCCGGAGAGAAUGGGCGUCUGGCGGGGCACCCCCAGCGCCGCUGCCUAGGAGCCUACGCUUUGGGUCCAGCUGCCAGGCCAGCGCUGGCAAGACAGAUGCCUGCUGCACUCCAGCCCUCCAGAGCCAGGACGCGGGUGUCCACUCUGGGCCCGGCUGGCCCGGAAUUUCCCAGCGGCCUUGGGGCAUCACAAACCAAGCAAAGAAGGAGAAAGAGAAGUGUGAGGCCCUUUCUGCGUGCGCUGAGCUUUGGAGUCCUGGUGCCUGCUGGGCCUCUUACCUUUGCAGGCGCAUACCACCAUCCAGUCCAGCACCUGGGGUGAAAUUAUUUUGAUUUUUAAAAUGCAUAAAUUUUACCUCUAUUAAAAUGAUUUAAAUUUAAAAAUGAUUAAAAUAAAAAGCAAAUUCGAUCUUUGCAGCUAAUUAUUUUCAGAGUUGAAGCUUUUGUCCUGUAUGUUGCUCAUAACUGCCAGGGAGAGCGAGCCACAUCCAACUUUUCAUUUUGCCAUUUUGGAAACGCACCACCAAACCUAAGGACUUGCCCCAGGUCCCAUGUGAGACAUAGAAAUGGCUUCUCAUGCAUGCCAUUCCUCAGGUGGCUGGAAC
rnacentral:lncRNA from 1 species